CUGGCUCAGGAUGAACGCUAGCGACAGGCUUAACACAUGCAAGUCGAGGGGCAGCAUAGAAGUAGCAAUACUUGGUGGCGACCGGCGCACGGGUGAGUAACGCGUAUGCAACCUACCUAUCAGAGGGGAAUAACCCGGCGAAAGUCGGACUAAUACCGCAUAAAACAGGGGCACCGCAUGGUGAUAUUUGUUAAAGAAAUUCGCUGAUAGAUGGGCAUGCGUUCCAUUAGGUAGUUGGUGAGGUAACGGCUCACCAAGCCGACGAUGGAUAGGGGAACUGAGAGGUUGGUCCCCCACACUGGUACUGAGACACGGACCAGACUCCUACGGGAGGCAGCAGUGAGGAAUAUUGGUCAAUGGGCGGGAGCCUGAACCAGCCAAGUCGCGUGAAGGAAGAAGGAUCUAUGGUUCGUAAACUUCUUUUGCAGGGGAAUAAAGUGCAGGACGUGUCCUGUUUUGUAUGUACCCUGAGAAUAAGGAUCGGCUAACUCCGUGCCAGCAGCGGC
rnacentral:rRNA from 1 species